rnacentral:rRNA from 1 species
ACGAUGAACCACUUCGGUGGGGAUUAGUGGCGAACGGGUGAGUAACACGUGGGCAAUCUGCCCUGCACUCUGGGACAAGCCCUGGAAACGGGGUCUAAUACCGGAUACUGACCCGCCUGGGCAUCCAGGCGGUUCGAAAGCUCCGGCGGUGCAGGAUGAGCCCGCGGCCUAUCAGCUUGUUGGUGAGGUAACGGCUCACCAAGGCGACGACGGGUAGCCGGCCUGAGAGGGCGACCGGCCACACUGGGACUGAGACACGGCCCAGACUCCUACGGGAGGCAGCAGUGGGGAAUAUUGCACAAUGGGCGCAAGCCUGAUGCAGCGACGCCGCGUGAGGGAUGACGGCCUUCGGGUUGUAAACCUCUUUCAGCAGGGAAGAAGCGCAAGUGACGGUACCUGCAGAAGAAGCGCCGGCUAACUACGUGCCAGCAGCCGCGGUAAUACGUAGGGCGCGAGCGUUGUCCGGAAUUAUUGGGCGUAAAGAGCUCGUAGGCGGCUUGUCGCGUCGGUUGUGAAAGCCCGGGGCUUAACCCCGGGUCUGCAGUCGAUACGGGCAGGCUAGAGUUCGGUAGGGGAGAUCGGAAUUCCUGGUGUAGCGGUGAAAUGCGCAGAUAUCAGGAGGAACACCGGUGGCGAAGGCGGAUCUCUGGGCCGAUACUGACGCUGAGGAGCGAAAGCGUGGGGAGCGAACAGGAUUAGAUACCCUGGUAGUCCACGCCGUAAACGGUGGGCACUAGGUGUGGGCGACAUUCCACGUCGUCCGUGCCGCAGCUAACGCAUUAAGUGCCCCGCCUGGGGAGUACGGCCGCAAGCUUAAAACUCAA